rnacentral:rRNA from 1 species
GAGUUUGAUCUUGGCUCAGAUUGAACGCUGGCGGCAGGCCUAACACAUGCAAGUCGAGCGGUAGAGAGAAGCUUGCUUCUCUUGAGAGCGGCGGACGGGUGAGUAAUGCCUAGGAAUCUGCCUGGUAGUGGGGGAUAACGCUCGGAAACGGACGCUAAUACCGCAUACGUCCUACGGGAGAAAGCAGGGGACCUUCGGGCCUUGCGCUAUCAGAUGAGCCUAGGUCGGAUUAGCUAGUUGGUGAGGUAAUGGCUCACCAAGGCGACGAUCCGUAACUGGUCUGAGAGGAUGAUCAGUCACACUGGAACUGAGACACGGUCCAGACUCCUACGGGAGGCAGCAGUGGGGAAUAUUGGACAAUGGGCGAAAGCCUGAUCCAGCCAUGCCGCGUGUGUGAAGAAGGUCUUCGGAUUGUAAAGCACUUUAAGUUGGGAGGAAGGGCAGUAAAUUAAUAACUUUAGCUGUUUUGUACGUUA